rnacentral:rRNA from 1 species
GAUGAACGCUAGCUACAGGCUUAACACAUGCAAGUCGAGGGGCAGCGGGAUUGAAGCUUGCUUCAAUUGCCGGCGACCGGCGCACGGGUGAGUAACGCGUAUCCAACCUUCCGUACACUCAGGGAUAGCCUUUCGAAAGAAAGAUUAAUACCUGAUGGUAUGAUGAGAUUGCAUGAUAGCAUCAUUAAAGAUUUAUCGGUGUACGAUGGGGAUGCGUUCCAUUAGGUAGUAGGCGGGGUAACGGCCCACCUAGCCGACGAUGGAUAGGGGUUCUGAGAGGAAGGUCCCCCACAUUGGAACUGAGACACGGUCCAGACUCCUACGGGAGGCAGCAGUGGGGAAUCUUCCGCAAUGGGCGAAAGCCUGACGGAGCAACGCCGCGUGAGUGAUGACGGCCUCGGUUGUAAACUACUGUGAUCCGGGACGAAAAGGACAGAGUGCGAAGAAC